GUUUAUGCAAGUCUGAAAUUAAUUCAUACCAUAAGUGUCCUCUAAAAUCUCAAACUGUGAUGAGCUUGGAAGGUUGCAAUUAGUCUAGUUAUAGCUAAUCUUCCAGAUGUACUGUUUACUUUGGUUUUCUUUAAACCUUCAACUUGAUUUCUUCUCUAGUUGAUGCGCAGAGGAUCUCUAAAUAGUGGUCCUCUUCAUUUAGACUGCUUCAGUAAUUGUCCCACUUAGAAUGUGCCAUUUGUAAUAUGAUGCAGGUGAUCAUUGCUGUUGGUACCUAAUGAAGGAGCAUAGCCCUACCCAAGUAGUGACUCUUUCUCAGUUAAGGUUUCCAUUUUUCCAGACAACGUGGUGUUUGCAUUCAGGCUGAGGGUCUCUGUUCCAACUCUUGCUGUUCCUAUGCAGCGCAGCGUACAAAGGAACUGUCUGUUGGAUACUCCCUGGCAUCUAUGAAAUCUAGGUGGAGAUGAGAUCAGAGCAUUUGUAUCAUUUGUCAAAGGGUGCUGAUAGUUUUAGUUGUGCCGAUUAACAUAGUCUGCUAAGGGCAAGUAUUUUUGGCUCUGUAGCUUUUUUUCUUGCUUUCUAGCACUUCAUUGUAUUCUGCUUCUUUCUCCACCUGUCCAAUUGUGUAAGAAGGUGUGUGGAUGACUGAGUUAAUAAAUAACUUGUAUCUUCUUCCUGCUUAGCGUCUAAUCCAGGUCUUUGAGAUUGCUGUGUCCUGUAGGUGGUUAUGAUUGGCUCUGGGUUUUUUUCCUAAGCUGCCUGGGUCUCACCAGCACUGCUCAGCUGGUGCUUUCCUGCUGUAGUGGAAGGCAGGAAAUAUAAUCUCUUAUUGGUGUCAAGAAGAUGCAGUGUCCUGCUGAGGACUCUGUCAUUAGUCUCCCUCUGUGUCUUGAAAUCAGAAGAUUCUUUUCCCACUGGUGAAAUGUCAGUGAUUGGAAUGCAUGUAUGGCUCUGUAAAAGGGUUCUGCUUUCCCAGAAGCAGCAUCUUUCAGGAGAUGGGAAAUUUCUGCGGCUGAUAGAAGAAGUUGGAAAUGACUUAAUGGAAAUUUGCUGGUCUUAAGCAGUGCUGGAGCAUCAUCCAAGCUUCAGUUGAGCCUACAGGACCUAUGGUGUGAGGUGAUAGGCUGAGUAUUUUAGUGGCAGGUGUUAAUCAUUUUGUUAAUCAGAAUCUCUUUAUCAGUUCAGUGCUUGGUGCCAUGCAGUCACUAAGGUGUUAAGAUAGUUGUUACUAGUUUGUUGUGGGGUUUUUUGUUUCUAAUGAUCCGAAUAAGGGAAAUGAACUGUGAAUUGAGAAGCUGAAAGGUAGCUGAUACUGAAAGGUAUCUGAUACUGAAUACCAGAACUGGGUCUAGGCUUUUUCAAAUUGAAACGCUCUUCCAAGCCAAACUUUCUGUUGAUAAAGAGAACUGGAAACCUUCUCCGUAGCUAUUCAUUUCUUUCUGUUUCACCACCCUUGCAUACAUAUAUUUUUCUUUUUCCCCUCUGGGAAUCUUCUUCUUGGAUGUUUCUCUGUACAUGAUCCAGCUAUCCUGUGAUACUUUGUCAUGGAAUGGGAUCUUCUUCU
rnacentral:lncRNA from 1 species